ACAGUUACAAUAUAUUUCACAAAUUAUUCUUGAACAUUCAUACAUAAUACGAAUUUAUCUCCAUUUUUUCACGUAAUUAAACGUUUCAUUUAGCUCUUCUAUAAUCUGAAACGUUUUUCUGUAUCUCUUAAUUUAUUUAGAUUUUUUUUUAUUAAUAAAGAGGAUUAUGUGUUCCGUAAAAACGCAUUCAGCACUCGCAGAAGUGACGCAUUCAUCAAUGGAUGGGAAUUAACGGGGAAUUUAAUUAUUAUCUAAAAAAAAACAUUGUUUCUCAUAUUUUCAUAUUUUUUCAACUGAAAAUUCUCUCUUUCGGGUCCAUAGGUCCCCGAAAAAUUCGCCCCGUUAAUCAGUUACCGAUAACUAAUUAAUUAUCUCAUUAUCAGUUUCACUUGUUUCUUCGUCUAUUAAUUCAUGUUUUAUUACAUUUUUUCAGUUUCAGCUCUUGAGAGUUAUCGCCAGGUGUUCGGCGCCUUUUUUUUUUAUCACUCGGAGGGCAUUGAGGCCCCUAAGGGGUCCACCCUCAUCGAAAUUAAUUCAUUAACUGCGAGAGGAAGAAAACAUCAGCUGACAUUUUUUUCUUCUCUUUUUUCACUCGCAAUUUGUCUUUUUAUUCAAUCGCAUCUGUUUUUAGCCGAAAAAAAAAAACAGCAAAUUAUUUCUCAUUUAGAUUUUCAGCAAUGAAAUAUGAUUUUCAAACGAUAAAAAAAUGGUAUUUACGACGAUUAAUCGGAAUGUUUCUUUAUUUCUUUUCUCUACGUAAAAUUUUUACUCUUUACAGUUCUUCUUCGAUUUGAUGUUGAAUUUUAAUCAAUUGCUUAAUUUCUCAUGCAUUUCCCCAGCGAAAAAUACAAAAAUGAUGAUGAUGUCGAGAAAAAGAGAGAUUUUUUUGGUUUUUAUGAAGUAAGAUGAUGAAUUGAUGAUUUCAUUGAUCACUGAACAGCUCAUCCACCGAUACUUCCCCAGAACUUAGGGAAUUACCAAGGAAAUUAUUUUUUUCUUCAAUUUUCAGUCAGAACGAGAGGAAAAUCGCGUCUUUGUCGCUCCCCGUAUUCACCUCCCAUUUAUUUUCGUAUCAUUUUUAUCCCGACUCUCAGGAUGUCCCUGAGAAAAAAAAAAUUCUUGCCCCAAUAAUUUUAUCCACCCGCAUGAUCCCCAGGUAGAAAAAAACGUGUGAAAACCACGAAAAAAAUCGUUAUCAUCUUGAAUUUAUGUCACGAAAUAUCAAAAGAAGAAAUUGUUUUAAAUCACAACAAAAAAUCAUUACCUCCAGACAAUCAAUUAUUAUUAUCAUCCACCAGUAAAAAGAGUCCACGGAAUUCUGGAGUAAUCGCCGAGACCAUUGGAGGGACUCAGAAAUUGAUAAAAGGUUUAGAUGAGUUUAUGACAUUGAAGUGAAAGAAAUCGUUUCUUUUGGAGGGUCGCGAGAGGAUCUGGAGGUGAAAUCAAGGAAUUAUUACCGAUGACUUCUCAUUUCUUCGGGGAUUUUUCCGGAAUUGGUGAAAAUCUUGAAAAUUAAAAAUGAUCGGUAAUAAUUCUGUGAUGACAGAACGGCGAUGAAAAUCGAGGAAUCAGUACUCGAACGGAAUUCAAAGGCAGAAUAUGUCCAGAGUCAUGGCCUGAGACACCAAUGACAGGAGUUCAAGUUAUUUGAUAGAGAUAAUAUUGAUAGGAUUGUUAACGUCACAUGCGAUUCACAGAUGGACAAAUAGGCUAGUGUAUAACUCAGUUAUUCUCAUCCACUCCAAGUGGCAUAAUCAUUAAAUUCAUGUGUAAAAAGUUGUAACUAUAAUGCUAAUAAUAAUACAAUAAUUAAUAAUAAUUAAUAAUUAUAAGAUUUAAUGGACAAUGCUCUUUUUUUUUGUAAUUUGUUUUCAGUUUUCUUUCGUUAAAUUACUGCAGAGAAAUAAGAACAAAAUUAUAAAAUAAUCAUUGCGGAUCCUAAGAGUCAGCCACAUCAACCACAAGUGCCGCUCAGUGAUCUCAAGAUUUCCCAAUAAUUCUCCAUUUUUUUUUAUUUAUCAAACCCAAAAUUUUACGCUAUCAUCUGGAAUUUUUCUCACAUUACUUUCCCUAAUUUCCCCAGGUUCCCCAGGUGUCACUUGACCUCCCCUCCCCCCACUCUCAAAAAUAAUCUUGAUGAAAAAAAAAGUCUCUUCUAAAUUUAUCUCAAGAAAAACGUUCAUCCAUUUUUCGAUGAAAUUAUCUCACCCAAGAUUGGCCCAAGGGAAAAAUCACAAGAUAUCUUUUUCAUCGAAAAUUUCCUCGCCAACAAAAAAGUCCCAUAAAAUUCUGCCCUAAAACUACAACUCCCCGAGA